rnacentral:rRNA from 1 species
UACGAAGGGGGCUAGCGUUGUUCGGAAUUACUGGGCGUAAAGGGCGCGUAGGCGGUACUUCAAGUCAGGCGUGAAAGCCCCGGGCUCAACCUGGGAACCGCGCUUGAGACUGGAGAACUAGAGUUCGGGAGAGGAGAGUGGAAUUCCUGGUGUAGCGGUGAAAUGCGCAGAUAUCAGGAAGAACACCCGUGGCGAAAGCGGCUCUCUGGAACGGUACUGACGCUGAGACGCGAAAGCGUGGGGAGCGAACAGG